rnacentral:misc_RNA from 1 species
GUAUUUUGAAUUAAGUAUUCAUAAUAGGUUUUCAGACAAAGUGGUUUAAAAUAAAAGGUUGGUGUAGGUGUGAAGACCUCCCGAGAGAAGUCUCCAACACAACAUUGCACACAAGGUGAGUACUAUUUUUAAAAAGUGCAGUAAAACACUUAUUAUGAAUGAUCCUUCCGCAGGUUCACCUACGGAAA